rnacentral:tRNA from 2 species
GCGGGUAUCGUAUAGUGGUUAUUACCUAAGGUUUCCAACCUUAUGAGAGGGGUCCGAUUCCCCUUACCCGCUCCA